GAAAUGCGAUAAGUAAUGUGAAUUGCAGAAUUCAGUGAAUCAUCGAAUCUUUGAACGCACCUUGCGCUCCUUGGUAUUCCGAGGAGCAUGCCUGUUUGAGUGUCAUGGAAUUCUCAACUCUAUUUGCUUUUGUGAAUAGAGCUUGGAUUUGGAGGUUUAUUGCUGGUACUUGUGAUCGGCUCCUCUUGAAUGCAUUAGCUCGAACCUUUGCGGAUCAGCUAUCGGUGUGAUAAUUGUCUACGCCGUUGCAGUGAAGCAUAUCAAUGGGCUCGGCUUCCAAUCGUCCUUUACUGGACAAUGACUUUGACCUUUGACCUCAAAUCAGGUAGGAUUACCCGCUGAACUUAA
rnacentral:misc_RNA from 1 species